AUACGGAGGAUGCGAGCGUUAUCCGGAUUUAUUGGGUUUAAAGGGUGCGUAGGCUGUGCGUUAAGUCAGGGGUGAAAUGCCGUCGCUCAGCGACGGAGCUGCCCUUGAUACUGGCGUGCUGGAGUACGGAUGCCGUUGGAGGAAUGAGUGGUGUAGCGGUGAAAUGCUUAGAUAUCACUCAGAACACCGAUUGCGAAGGCAUCUGACGAAUCCGUCACUGACGCUGAGGCGCGAAAGCGUGGGGAUAGAACAGGAUUAGAUACCCUGGUAUUCCACGCCGUAAACGAUGAUGACUAACCGUCGGCGAUAGACAGCCGGUGGCCAAGCGAAAGCGAUAAGUCAUCCACCUGGGGAGUACGUCGGCAACGAUGAAACUCAAAUGAAUUGGCGGGG
rnacentral:rRNA from 1 species